rnacentral:rRNA from 1 species
UACGUAGGGUGCAAGCGUUAAUCGGAAUUACUGGGCGUAAAGCGUGCGCAGGCGGUUUUGUAAGUCUGUCGUGAAAUCCCCAGGCUUAACCUGGGAACUGCAUUCGAGACUGCAUUGCUAGAGUAUGGGAGAGGGAAGUGGAAUUUCCGGUGUAGCGGUGAAAUGCGUAGAUAUCGGAAGGAACAUCAGUGGCGAAAGCGACUUCCUGGACCAAUACUGACGCUCAUGUGCGAAAGCGUGGGGAGCAAACAGG